AUUGAACGCUGGCGGCAUGCCUUACACAUGCAAGUCGAACGGUAACAGGUCUUCGGAUGCUGACGAGUGGCGAACGGGUGAGUAAUACAUCGGAACGUGCCCGAUCGUGGGGGAUAACGAAGCGAAAGCUUUGCUAAUACCGCAUAAGAUCUACGGAUGAGAGCAGGGGACCGCAAGGCCUUGCGCGAACGGAGCGGCAGGUGGCAGAUCAGGUAGUGGGUGGGAUAAAAGCUUACCAAGCCGACGAUGUGUAGCUGGUCUGAGAGGACGACCAGCCACACUGGGACUGAGACACGGCCCAGACUCUUACGGGAGGCAGCAGUGGGGAAUUUUGGACAAUGGGCGAAAGCCUGAUCCAGCCAUGCCGCGUGCAGGAUGAAGGCCUUCGGGUUGUAAACUGCUUUUGUACGGAACGAAAAGACUCUUUCUAAUAAAGAGGGUCCAUGACGGUACCGUAAGAAUAAGCACCGGCUAACUACGUGCCAGCAGCCGCCGUAAAAC
rnacentral:rRNA from 1 species